rnacentral:rRNA from 1 species
GAUGAACGCUAGCUACAGGCUUAACACAUGCAAGUCGAGGGGAAACGAUAUUGGAAGCUUGCUUCCGAUAGGCGUCGACCGGCGCACGGGUGAGUAACGCGUAUCCGACCUGCCCAUCACUUGGGGAUAACCUUGCGAAAGUAAGACUAAUACCCAAUGACGUCUCUAGAAGACAUCCGAAAGAGAUUAAAGAUUUACCGGUGAUGGAUGGGGAUGCGUCUGAUUAGCUUGUUGGCGGGGUAACGGCCCACCAAGGCGACGAGAAGUAGGGGGGCUGAGAGGAAGGUCCCCCACAUGGGAACUGAGACACGGUCCAAACGCCUACGGGAGGCAGCAGUGAGGAAUAUUGGUCAAUGGGCGAGAGCCUGAACCAGCCAAGUAGCGUGCAGGAUGACGGCCCUAUGGGUUGUAAACUGCUUUUAUAAGGGAAUAAAGUGGGAGUCGUGACUCCUUUUGCAUGUACCUUAUGAAUAAGGACCGGCUAAUUCCGUGCCAGCCGCCGCCGUAA